rnacentral:rRNA from 1 species
GACGAACGCUGGCGGCGUGCUUAACACAUGCAAGUCGAGCGGUAAGGCCCUUUCGGGGGUACACGAGCGGCGAACGGGUGAGUAACACGUGGGUGACCUGCCCUCAGCUCUGGGAUAAGCCUGGGAAACUGGGUCUAAUACUGGAUAUGACUCCACGGUGCAUGUCGUGGGGUGGAAAGCCUUGUGCGGCUGAGGAUGGGCCCGCGGCCUAUCAGCUUGUUGGUGGGGUGANGGCCUACCAAGGCGACGACGGGUAGCCGGCCUGAGAGGGCGACCGGCCACACUGGGACUGAGACACGGGCCCAGACUCCUACGGGAGGCAGCAGUGGGGAAUCUUGCGCAAUGGGCGAAAGCCUGACGCAGCGACGCCGCGUGAGGGAUGACGGCC